UACAGAGGUCCCAAGCGUUGUUCGGAUUCACUGGGCGUAAAGCGCGCGUAGGCGGCUCGACAAGUCGGCCGUGAAAUCUCCAGGCUCAACUUGGAGGGGUCGGGCGAGACUGUCGGGCUCGAGGUGGGCAGAGGGCAGUGGAAUUCCGGGUGUAGUGGUGGAAUGCGUAGAGAUCCGGAGGAACACCAGUGGCGAAGGCGGCUGCCUGGGCCUGGCCUGACGCUGAGGCGCGAAAGCGUGGGGAGCAAACAGG
rnacentral:rRNA from 1 species